rnacentral:rRNA from 1 species
GACGAACGCUGGCGGCAUGCCUAAUACAUGCAAGUUGAGCGCUGAAGGUUGGUACUUGUACCGACUGGAUGAGCAGCGAACGGGUGAGUAACGCGUGGGGAAUCUGCCUUUGAGCGGGGGACAACAUUUGGAAACGAAUGCUAAUACCGCAUAAAAACUUUAAACACAAGUUUUAAGUUUGAAAGAUGCAAUUGCAUCACUCAAAGAUGAUCCCGCGUUGUAUUAGCUAGUUGGUGAGGUAAAGGCUCACCAAGGCGAUGAUACAUAGCCGACCUGAGAGGGUGAUCGGCCAGAUUGGGACGGUGACACGGCCCAAAGGCCCACGGGAGGCAGCAGGAGGGAAUCGUCGGCAAUGGACGGAAGACUGACCGAGCAGCGCCGCGUGAGUGAAGAAGGUUGUCGGGUCGUAAAACUCGGUUGGUAGAGAAGAACGUUGGUGAGAGUGGAAAGCUCAGCAAGUGACGGUAACUACUCAGAAAGGGACGGCUAACUACGUG